GUUCUUGAAAGCUAACUGUCAGAAGAGGCCCAAAUCAGUUAUUACAGAUGGAGAUGCAGCGAUGAUAAGGGCUAUUAGGAAGGUGCUUUCUGACGUGUGGCAUCGUCUAUGUUCAUGGCAUAUUGAAAAGAAUAUGUAGAAACACCUCAACCACAAGUCAUUGAAGGAGUUUAGGGCAUUAUUGUACUAUGCCACUACACAUAAGGUUUUUGAGGAGAGAUGGGCCGCGUUUGUGCGCAAAUGGCAGACGGAGAAAAUGAAAACAUGGCUCCAUAGGAUGUACAGGAAGAGGACGCUUUGGGCUGCAUCAUAUUUGUCUGGUGGGUUUUUCCUUGGUAUGCGCAGUAAUCAGAGGAGUGAGAGUCUGAACUCCAGCCUGCACCUUCAUCUUGACUAUGGUAUGAUGAUUGUUGACAUGAUUGUACACUACGAGAAUUGUAUUGUUCGCCUCCGUGAGAAUGAAGCUUAUGAUGACUACACGGCCUCACAGACUCUUCCAGUAACAGUGACUGAGUGUCAGGCCAUUGAGUCGUAUGCUGCGAAAGCAUUCACGCAGGCAAACUUUUAUAUGUUGCAACAAGAUAUGAAGAAGGUACAGGAGCUUGAGGUAAUUGAUAGACUGACAGGGACCGAUAGUCAGAGAUUUGUGGUUGCGUGGAAGAAUAACAGGGAUCACAGAUUUAAUGUGGACUAUACGCCAGGUAACUCGGCAGAAACUAUAAAGUGCAGUUGCCGAAGUAUGACUCGCAAAGGGCUUCCUUGCAAGCAUAUUAUUCAUGUUUUGAAUGCACUGAACUUACCUGUGAUACCCAAGUGUUGUGUCCUGCGAAGAUUCUCAAAAAAAGCACGAGCUGGACUGCCAGUGAAGCGCACCAGCGAUUUGUUUGCGUGGGGUUGGUCGAGUGGUGAGGACAGAGCUAGAUAUAGUGAGUUGACCAUCAAAUCUUCAGAAGCCUGUCAUGUCGCAUGCAGUAAUCCUUUCUUAUUCGACAAGUUGAUGGCAGCUCUGGAUGAUAUUAUAGUGAAUAAGGAUAUUCAGGGAAAUGAAGAUGAUAUUCAGCGAAGCUUCGUGAACAGUAAUCUAUUUGAGCCUAACCGAGAUCAUAUUCUGGUUCGUGAUCCAGUAAAGGUUUCCACCAAGGGCGCACCUAAGCAGAACAGUAGAGGUCGCGGUAAGGGUGGCCCAGAUGUGACAAAAAAUGAGAGGCCUAAAGCAUUUGACGAGAAAUCUGGACGAAAAUGUAGCAUAUGCAGCGGCUCAGGUCAUAACAGGAGCACAUGCAGCAAAAAUGAAGAGAAUGUCUAUUAUUUGUUUGUGUCAGUUUUGUUGUUUCAUUAACGGUGCAUUGAUUCUCAUAUUUUUUUUGUAUGCAGCAACUGGGCUUGAAGACUCAAGUGUAGACGAUGCGAGUGUUUUACCUCUUCCAUUUAUAUGAAGAACAUUUGUAAAAUUUAUGUUCGUGUUGAGUAUUUUAUAUGUGUGAAACAUGAUUAUUGCGUACGGACCGUUGUCAUUUCAGACUUGUUAUUUUCUGUCAACUACAAUAAAAUUACUGUGGUGACAAUUGUUAUGUUAAGACAACAUUGUUGUUGAUAUAAAUAUUCACUAUUCAUUGUUUAUUUUAUGAAUUCUGCAUGUAUUUACUAUAGUCCCGUCGGCUGUCAACUAUAUCAAAAUAGAAGAAGUACUCUGUGAACUGUUGUUGAAAAAAAAGAAAAAAAAUGCCCGCCCGUCUCCACAGCGUGACUUAGUAAGCCCGCCGUUAUCAAGCCCAACGGGGCAGCAUCGACGCGGCACAUCGACGGGGUAGUAAUCAGAGGAGUUCAAUACAACGACGGGAGCUAAGUAUAUAAACUAGUCGUCGUCGCCUUCGGCCGUCGAGGUGGGACUAAACUUGUGUCGGUUUCACUGGCGCGGCGUCUCAGCGGUGGUAACUGGGCCGGCCCACGGCGCGUCGAGCCGUCGAGAAGACCGCGCCGUCAAUUGCCUUUUUGGGCCGGCCCACGUUGCGUCGAGCAGUCGAGAAGACCGCGCCAUCCAGUGCCUUUUUGGGCCGGCCCACGUCGCGUCUGGCUGUGUCCAGGUCGCCCCGCGGCCGACGCAAGUUUAGUCUCACCUCGCCGGCCGAAGGGGACGACGACCUGCUUAUAUACUCAGCUCCCGUCGUUGCAUUGAACUCCUCUGAUUACUACCCCGUCGAUGUGUCGCGUCGAUGCUGCCCUGUUGGGCCUGGUUUCCACGGCGUGCUCCGAAACGCCUGUUGUAGUCGCCCGUUGGGCUUGAUAACGACGGGCUUACUAAGAAACGCCGUGGAGACGGGCGGGCAUUUUUUUAUGUAAAAUAAUUUUUAAGUAAAACGCAGUGUGCUGCCAUAGUUUAGUGCACAAAAAUUUAACGACGACAUGAUUACAUAUAACUAUUCGGCAACAAAAAAACAUGUAAACAAAAAAAAUCAUUAUAUAAUAUUUAUGAAACGAAAUAUCAUGUGGACAUAAAAAAACAUUUGGAAAAGUGCCGAGUCUAUUACAUAUAACUAUUCAAAAGCAGAGUCUAUUACAUAAAAUUUAUAAGCAAGUGCGCAAAGCGUUUGGAAAAUAAAGUCCUCCAGUACCACCCAAUCACAUGCAAAACUCCUCCGUGCCGCAUCUAUUUCUUCUUCUUUGAUAUCCGAAUAACUUUGUUUUUCACUUCAUCAAGCUUGUUUCUUUCCGAAAAUAUAAGUUGCGCAAUCAUUAACUCUCUCGAAUCAUCAAUUGAGGUCUGAAAAAAAAAUGGUGUUAGCACAGCGUUCAUUGUACAUCGUAGUCCAAACAUGACUUGCGUACCUGUGAAAAUAAGCCUGUCCAUUUGUCACCAUCCCAAUUUUGAAAGCAUCGAAGGAGAAAUAUUCCACACGAAUUCCUAGUGCAUACAAUUUACGAAGAUUAAAUAUCUAUUGUACAUACAAGACCAACAUUCUGUCGAAGUAAAAACUCACCCAUCAUGUUGUUUUGGCAUGGCAUACGUUUGAAUAGGCCACUUGGAAACAUCCGGAUAAUUCACAAUUCCGGUUGCAUUUGCUUCUUGGAUAUCUUAUGCUAGUUGUUUUCUCUAAAGAUAUAAUAAACAUGGUGGAAAGCAUGUCAUUCAGUGUACUAAAGAGAACGAAUGUUACCAAAUGCACAUUUGCAAGUUAAACCUACCAGGUCCUCAACGAGUUCUCUAGUAACAGUGUCAAGUUUUCCGGUCAUCAACGAGUCAAGAACCUGAAACUCUCUUUUUCCGCUAUGCAUGACGACAGUAAUCCAGUGAUUAUUUUGCUUGUUUAGAGGAAUGUAAGUCUGCAUCACAAGGACCAUAAAACACAAUCAUCACAUAAUAUCGUAUGUAUGUACCGUGUUAACAAUCAAACUUACCUUUGAUUUUUUGAAAUACUCGUCCUCACAUCUGUUCACGGGUCCAUUACUAUGCGACUCUGCUUCAUAAUCAUUACCGGCGGUCUUCUUUCCGGGUCUAACGUGAAGCAACCAAUGUAUCCUCCAAGUUGUUAACAUGAAACGAUGAAGUGAAUGCAUUCCAGUUGAACUUCCUUAUCAACUUAAUAUUUUGCACUAAGGCAUAGUACUUUUUCGGAACGUAUUCAUGAGACACUGGUGCAAUUAUAGUUCCUAAGAGAACUAGAAAUGUCAUCCGAAUAAAGUCAUCAUCAGUGCUCUUAUCCUUCACAAUCUUUUCUAUGAGAUCAUCAAUCAUGAUCUUACCAUUUUUCUUGCUAACAAAACUAACUGGUAUUUUUUUGGUUGCUUUUUCUCCUUCAGUACUAAGAAACCCAAAAACAUCCACUCCAUUGUUUUUCCAACCAAAUAUGGAGUACACAUCAUCAGGCCUUAAUGAAAUAAGACCUUUACAUCCAGCAGUACUUCCAGAACUCUCUUGAACCAUGAAUUUUUUGCUACUCGGAUUGUAACUUUGGAGUAAAAAGUGAAGCAAAAAAUCACGCAUCCUUAUCGAUGGUAUUCUAAACAUGCCCUGCAUAUCCGUUUCAUAAAACCUGAAUUUCUUACUUGGUGACAGUUUGUCAACUAGGCUAACCCACUUUUGAACAGAACAUGGAAUCACACCGUCGAUGUUCAUACUGCAUCAAAUAGAUUUCUGUCACAUACCAUCAUAUUGUUAUGAGCCUCGUUGUAUAAAAGAACUGGAAAAAAAACUUACACGACGGCGACGGUGGGAGAGGCACCGGCGGCGUAUAGUGGCGACGGGUGAGGGGACGCAAGCCGGCGCGGGCGCACCGACGGAGUUUGUACGGUGGGGCGACGGUGGGAGAGGCAGCGGCAACGUAAACAAGGCGACGGGUCAGGUCAGGGCAGGCCGGCGCGGCCGCACCGGCGCCGUUUUGGAGUGUGGGGCGACGGGCGGCGUACGGUGGCAGCACGUGCAGAUCGCGGCGGCGGCGAGACGGGGUGACGUAGAAGGAAAUUUUGCAUGCACGUCGGCUAACGACGUCGCCCGAGCGCUGAUUGCAGCGUCGUUUGUUAGUGGGACGGCCCCAUGCACGCAUGCGCGUCGGUUAGCGAGACGGCCGGCGUUUUUUUUGCAGGGCCUCAUUUUUUUUACUAGAUGAAAUAGGCAUAUUUUUUUAACUGUAUCAAAAUUUUUUAUCUUAACCAAUUUUUUAAACUUAAUCAAAUAUGCUCUUUUUUUAACUUAGCCAAACAUGCCCAAUUUUUUUCCACGUGCUACUGUGGCCUAGCAGGGCACGCACGCAAAAAAUUGUCCCGUUUCGAGUCCGUAUGCAUUUUCUAUCAUUAUCCAGGCAGAAAACCCAAAAAAUACUGCCCGGACGUGACACAACGUGCGUUCGUUGUCGGAUUUCAUUCAUUUUGGCCGUGGGGUGCACGGGUGGGGCCCCACACGCGCUCCCAGAAGUUGGGUGCAAUCCGUCAAACCGCUCAGGUACUUGCUGUGGAAGGGGGUGGUUUCGGUAUGGCCGGAGGGGACCCUGGGUCACACCUCUCUGCUUCGCAUCCGCCAAACGUGCCCAAUUUUUUUCCACGUGCUACUGUGGCCUAGCAGGGCAUGCACGCAAAAAAUUAUCCCAUUUCGAGUCCGUAUGCAUUUUCUACCAUUUUCCAGGCACAAAACCCAGAAAAUACUGCCCGGACGUGACGCAACGUGCGUUCGUUGUCGGAUUUCGUUCAUUUUGGCCGUGGGGUGCCCGGGUGGGGCCCCACACGCGCUCCCAGAAGUUGGGUGCAAUCCGUCAAACCGCUCAGGUACUUGCUGUGGAAGGGGGUGGUUUCGGUAUGGCCGGAGGGGACCCUGGGUCACACCUCUCCGCUUCGCAUCCGCCAAACGUGCCCAUUUUUUUUCCACGUGCUACUGUGGCCUAGCAGGGCACGCACGCAAAAAAUUAUCCCGUUUCGAGUCCGUAUGCAUUUUCUAUCAUUUUCCAGGCAGAAAACCCAGAAAAUACUGCCCGGACGUGACGCAACGUGCGUUCGUUGUCGGAUUUCGUUCAUUUUGGCCGUGGGGUGCCCGGGUGGGGCCCCACACGCGCUCCCAGAAGUUGGGUGCAAUCCGUCAAACCGCUCAGGUACUUGCUGUGGAAGGGGGUGGUUUCGGUAUGGCCGGAGGGGACCCUCGGUCACACCUCUCCGCUUCGCAUCCGCCAAACGUGCCCAAUUUUUUUCCACGUGCUAUUGUGGCCUAGCAGGGCGCGCACACAAAAAAUUAUCCCGUUUCGAGUCCGUAUGCAUUUUCUACCAUUUUCCAAGUAGAAAACCCAGAAAAUACUGCCCCGACGUGACGCAACGUGCGUUCGUUGUCGGAUUUCGUUCAUUUUGGCCGUGGGGUGCCCGGGUGGGGCCCCACACGCGCUCCCAGAAGUUGGGUGCAAUCCGUCAAACCGCUCAGGUACUUGCUGUGGAAGGGGGUGGUUUCGGUAUGGCCGGAGGGGACCCUCGGUCACACCUCUCCGCUUCGCAUCCGCCAAACGUGCCCAAUUAACGCUUCAGAAAAUGUUAAUGAAUUCAAAAAUUCUCGGAUUCAUAAAUAUUACUGAAUUAUAAAUAUUCUCUGGUUCAUAAAUUUAAAUAAUUUAAAAACAUUUCGGAAAAUGUAAAUGAAUUUAAAAAUUCUUGUAUUCAUUCAUAUAUUUUAAUGAAUUUAAAACUAUUUCAGAAAAUGUUAAUGAAUUCAAAAAUUCUCGGAUUCAUAAAUAUUAAUGAAUUAUAAAUUUUCUCUGGUUCAUAAAUUUAAAUAAUUUAAAAAUAUUUCGGAAAAUGUAAAUGAAUUUAAAAAUUCUUGUACUCAUUCAUAUAUGUUAAUGAAUUUAAAAAUAUUCUCUGAUUCAUAAAUGUUGAUGAAUUUAAUAAUAUUUUAGAAAAUGUUAAUGAAUUAAAAUAUCUCAACUUUUUAAUUUUUUGUGUUCUUUAUUUGCUAUAUUUUUUAUUUCAAAAUUUCAAUUUUUUCAUCCACCGGCUAUACUAUAUGGACAUAUUUAAACAAAAUCUGAACAUUUAUAAAACACUUUAUAAACAUUUACAUACACUUUUUAUUUUUUAUUUUAUGUGUUUCCGAUAAUUGCAUACCUUAUUCUGUGCUAUAUAUAUUCGAUGCAAAUUUUUUAAAUAUAUUACAAACAUUUUUAUGCAUUUUGAGGGAAAUUUUCAAUUUUUCUCAAAAUAAGCGUUCAAUAUUUAGCUAAUUUUUUGAACAAACUUUGAAGACAAAUUUCAAAGUAGAUUGAACAUAAAUAUAUUUUACAUAGUCCAUUCAACAUUACCGAAAUCAGACGAGUUUUUUCGAACAUAAGCGACACAUAGUUCAUACUUAGAACAUUUAAAAAAAAUAACUACUCCUCGUCGUCGCUACCCAACAGAUCGAUGACCUCCCCGACGUCACCGUCGUCACCCCCGCCCUCGUCGUCGUCGUCGCUAUCCUGGGCCAGCCGCUCCCAGUCGAUGACGUCGUCGUCCGACGACUCCGGCGGCUCCGCCUCCGCCUGCGGGACCACUGGCGGAAUCGCCGCCGCCGCCUGGAUCGCUGCCGCCUGCUCAGCGGCCUCCCUUGUAGCCGCCGCCGCCUCUGCAGCCGCCGCUGCAGCCGCCGACGCGCGUAGGGCGACGAGGUAACCCGGCGUAUCGUCGGGAUCACCGUCCUCCCGAAGAACCAACUGCUCCGGCGGCAGUUCCACCUCCGGCGGGGCGGGGGGAUCGGCGGGCGCCGGCGCAGGUGCGGGAGGAGCCCGACGGCCGCGCGCUGCUGGACGGGGGCGCGGGACAAGAAGGCGGCGACGGUCGCCGACGAGGUCAGGCGUGACGCCGGACUCCGCCAGCCGGUACACGCCGAUGACGGCGGCGUAGUCUUUGCCGUCCCAGAACGCGUGACGGCCGGCGAUGUUGUUGCGGCCGCCGGUCCGCUUCUCCUCGGCGGUGGCGCCGGGCCCGCGCGUCGGGUAGCCAUCCUUGUCGAGCUUCCAGUCGUGCGGAAGACGGCAACCCGGCGGCACAAGGAGCCCGAACCGGUGCAGCUCCUCCGUCUCCGGCGUACUCAGGCUCGACGGCCACGCGCUGGGUCCGUCGUCGCCGCCGGUGCCGGAGCUGCUGCCGCGGUGGAACGACAUGUCGCCAGCGGGAUUUUGGGAGGUGGAGACGGGAGAGGAGCGGUCUUUGCGUCGUCGGGCGGAGAGCGGUGUUUGCGGCGACGGGCGGACGGGGGGUGAGAUUUAUAGGCAGACGGCGGGGGCAGCGGGCGGUCGGGUCGUCGGGCUAUCAAUGCGACGGCAGUCGAGGGCGGCGGCGCGGCAAACGAGGGGACGGGGCGGCGGGGCGGCAGGCGAGGGGACGGACGGGACGGGGCGGCGGGGCGGCAGACGAGGCGACGGGACGGGGCGGCGGGCGGUCGGGCCGUCGGGCUAUCAAUGCGACGGCAGUCGAGGGCGGCGGCGCGGCAGACGAGGGGACGGGGCGGCAGGCGAGGGGACGGACGGGACGGGGCGGCGGGCCGCAGUUCACGCGCCACGACGCGCUUUCAGCGGGCGACGCGUGGUUUGACCACCGACGCGGUAAAAAAAUGUACGUCGCCACACCAAAAAGAAAAUGCGUAGACGUACGUACGUCGACGGUACGUCGCGGGGCCGGGACUGGGGGAGGGGCAGGGGCAAAGACCAUCCUACCCUUUUUUAAGUUUUCAGGCGAAGGGGUAUAGGACGAUCUGGACCGUUGAUGUUUUUAAGAGGGUUGUACCGAAGAAGAAGUUUCGGCCUUUUCACUCGGCAGAUAACAGACGGCGUCCGCGCCCCUGCUGAUCCGCGGCAGCAGGUCGGUCUUGCGCGGUUGCCACCACCGGCGUCGGGGGCUGAGGAGCGGCGGGGCCGCACCAAGGGCACCCCGCGUGGACCGGCCGGCCGCCCUGCGGCGACGGAGGCCCAUAACGGUAGUACACACCACCUGCAUCGCCCGAAAACCAAACGUACGUACUUAGUUUACAUGUAGAAAACACGAUCGAGAGCAAUUAUACCGCUGGUGUUAUUGUUACUUCGGAUGCCCGCCGAGCAUGGCAUGGGGCAGCAGAUGAGUAAGGUGGCCAGGACGACGGCUAGGAGCGCCGGAGAGGAAGACCAAGAGUUGGAGGAGCGACGCGCCAUGGUCGUCUCCUCUCUCCGGUCGAUGAUAAUCCUAAUUUGAUUAGAGCAAUGUACAGCUGUGUGAAGCAAGGUUCAAGGGCAGCGCAUGUAGUAUAUACAAGAGUGGUAAUGGCGCUUGUUUUAUACUUGGAGGCGCUGGCGCUGCCCAUUAGUCUCUCUCUCUCUCUCUCUCUCUCUCUCUCUCUCUCUCUCUCUCUCUCAUAUGGUGUGACGCAAAGGUCGAAUGGUCAAAGUCAAUCGGUCUUGAAAAGAAACUGGUCGGCACACACUACAUUACACUAAACCAGUCAAGUCCCUGUGCAUCUAUCAGCACCGUCCAUCGUCGAUCCCGUGGCUCAGGUUCGUUUCGAAUCUCAGGAAGACGAAUGCCAGCGCCUUCCUACACCAAGACCGCUCUCUAAGCGAUAUUGUUUACCAAUAACUCUUGACCAAGGCAUCGUUCGUCCACCUAGACGCCAAAUUGGAGUAUAUCUAUGUAUUUGGUAGAAUAUGAUUUUUAAUCGUCGCCUACCUUAUCUCUAGUAAAAGCCUGUUGCCUAUACAAACUGUUCAAGUGGCUCAAUACAAAACACAUCAUAUUAUGCCGAUCAUUUCUCCCCUCUAAUAUUCUUGCAUGGUAUUUGCCGCGAGAUCUUAGACCUAGCUCCACCACUGUUACCGCGCCACGCCGCCCCAGGGAGGUCGAUCUCCAUGAUCUCAGGGGGGCUGCAUAACCCGUAGUUAGAGUUCGUCCGCCGAUCGUGUUGAUCGGCUUCCCUAAAGAGUCCUUUUCCCGAUACAUUGAUUGGGAUUUUCUCUCUCGCCAUUCGUUUGAUCAACGUUUCUUUUUUGGUUUUCCGAUUUAAGACCGAUUGCAUCGUCCACCGCUCGUCGACUCUCCGUGCGCCUCUAUUCUGACUUCGGCGACAACUACACCGGCCACCUCUAUGACCAUGUGACACAGUGAAGCCCGUGGCGCUCCCUCGCCUACGUUACCUCCCCAUUGUCCACACGUCGAUCUUCGCCGACCAUCGUCUCCGCUUUCUCCAAUUAGGACGCUGCCAGCCUUGCCGCGUUACCAUCAGUUGCAUGCACGUGUCUCCGUAGGACCCCGUGAAGAUCGUUACCAAGUAUGCACGCCUCUCCACUGAUCGAGCAACGGGCUAUCGCUGCGUCGCCCCUUUAGGCCACAUCGUCUCCACCCUGAGGUCUUCCCUGCUGCUGCACCGACACACAUGUUGCCGUUGUGUCGCCCCUUCGAACCAAAUCGCCGCGACACGCGGUUCACUCUGUCAUCCCCUAGGCGUUGACGUCUACUUGAUAUGCACUGUGCCGCCUCCCUCGACGCAGGAUCACCACCGUCGGAGCAUGGUCUUUGUCAUGCUGUUUGGUUCACCCUCGGUUUCUUUGAGCAUCACAAAAUUCAGGCGUCGUCAUGGAGGAUAGCGAAGAAAGCAUGCGUGCGUUUGCGUGGAAAAUGAAUCGAGCAAGCAAAGACGAAUCGUCCCAGGUAAGUUAAUUAACUAGAUGAUACCCCGCACACUGCUGCGGGAACUUUUCACAAAUAAUUUGAUAUUUAAAACAUGAGAAAGUAUAUGAAACAUAAUAUAAGUAGAUGUAAAGAAUUUUCUUUGAAAGAAAUAUUGUUUAGAGUAAGCAUUUAUAGCAAAUUCGAUGAAAAGCAAAAAUAGGUGUGAUUUUUUAUUUAAUUUAUUACCUUAAAAAUAUAUCGGCGAGGCAAUAUAAGAUGAAAACAAUGUUCCGUAGAGACAAUGGAGACAUCUCAACUCUUGGCUAAACCUAAAACAACGAUACCAACUACAUAUGUGCAUUCAUAAAAAAAGCAUAGCUUACGUAGAAAAGUAAAACGCGUGUUCACUCUCAGUUUGAUUUUCUAUUAAAAGAGUCCACUUAUCCAGGUAGCUCAUUCACCACAAUAUACCUAGGUAGCUAUAAUUAUUUUUGUUUGUCUUGUCUCAUGCGCAACCAUGCAUGCUCCCCCAUUAGGUGAUGAAAUUUAGUUUCGUCAUAAAAAAAUGCCUGAUUAACUACUUGAUGUAUGAAGGGAAAUAAAAUUGGGAUUAAAAGGUUGCAUGGGAAUAGGAAUUCUUUGAAAGAAAAAGUUGAUGAUCUACCACUGUACGCAAUGAAAUCAAACUGAGAUUAAAGGGUUGCUUGGAAAACUGGAGGUUCCAGGGAAUGAUGUCAUCUAACACGAUUCCUUGACAUGGACGGUAAAAGAGACAUGGACAGAAAGCGCAAGGAAAUGAGAAUGAGAAAUGGCGGUCGUUUGGGUAUUCAAAAUCAGAAGAACACAUUAACAACACAUGAGGUCUAACCAUAUAGUUGGACGGGGACUCGUUUUGUACGUCUGGAGUGGAUUAGAUGAUGUCAACACAUAUACAAAUAGGAAAUAAACCUAGGGUGAUCUGCCUGCUUGAGAGUGCAUGAAAUAAAAAUAGUUAAUGGUUAUUUAUGGUAGAUUGCAGGUGCAUGAAUAAUUAGUGGGAGCAUGCACAUGAAGAGUUAGUGGGAAAGGAUUUUUACAUGAUGGGCCUACUUGAUGCUGUGGAUAGCUUGCGUGUAAAGAUAAAUAAGAUAGUGGGGAUGAAUCUCUUAGGUAUAUAGGAUUGAAAUCCUCUCUCUGCUAACCACGAGGAGGAUUGGUAAUACGCAUGCACCUAGCAUAGCAACUAGCAUAUCCAGAUCAACGGGGUGUUAUCGAGCCUCUUGCGAGAACAGAAGGUGGUGACCGCGGGACGUGGAGGUCAUGCUCAUACGGGAGCUCGAGAUUCUCUUCCCCCUCCGCCACGACAACAUCGUGCGACUCGUCGGCUGGUAUACGGAGGAGGACCCAUCACUAGUAGGAAAAAAAAACCUUAUAGGAACAGUGAACGCUGCUAGUGUGGUACAUCAUGCUAGCGUGCCAGCCAUACAGAACUAGCAGCGUUGAGCUGAAACGAAUACGUCGCAGGUAGUUCCGGUACUAGCAGCGUUCGGUCUACUCUAGUGCGCUGCUAAGUUUAUUAUGUGUAAAGAUAAGGUAUAAUCAGUAUUUUAUAUUUAAAAACCCUUGUUAUACAUGAAGUUAUUUUUUUUUGUAUUGCACACGAAAACUAUCUGUUCAUGCAAGUUGGAAAGCAAAAUAAAAAAUAAUGUUUAGUGAUUUAUCUCCUAAAAUACCUAAAGACUACCACCAGUGUUUGCCGAGGGGCGAACGUGGCCAGUGCACGAUGUAGCAGUAUUUGGUAGGAAGCAAACGUUGCAAAUGUUUUUAUUAUACUUAUUAUAUUGUAAGUGCCCUUUUUAUUUAGGAGCCACCUCAAAUAAGUUCAUAAUUGGAUAUGUAAAUGUUAAAUGGUGCAUAUUACUUCUAUGGAACUUAUUGUUGUCAUUUUAUCAACACACUGCAAACACCUGCCGAAAAACGGCACACUUAUCAAUUUCAUUUUUGGCUUCACUUCUAAAAUUUUACAAAAAAAUUGGUAUUGAUCAAAUGUUAUGUUAAUAAAUAGUCAAGUACAUACUGAAGGUAUUUGUUAAUAUAAAUUGGAAGGCUAAAGACAAAUAGUUGACCUUAAACUCCUGCAAUGUUGAAAUCAUCCUAGCAGCGUUUCAUAUCAACUAAACGUUGCAAGUAUCCACAUUAGCAGUGAUUCCUCUAUGCCAAACUCUGCUAAACUAAAUAUUGUGCUUGUUAUAUUGUAGGUUGCCUUUUUAUUUUUAGAGCAACCUCAAAUAAAUCCAUAAUUGGAUAUGUAAAUGUUAAAUGGUGCAUAUUACCUUUAUAGAAUUUGUUGUUGUCAUAUGAUCGUCAACACACUCCUUGACAACAUCGCAAUCUGUUGUCGUCAGACACUUGCCAGACAACUUCCAUUGGCUUCCCCUUUGAAACUUUCAUAAAAUUCUUGGCAUUUAUCAAAUAUUAUGUUAAUAAAUAGUUGAGUGUGUACUAAAACUAUUUGUUGGUAUAAAUUGGAAGAUGGAAGGAAAAUGGUUGACCUUAAACUUCUACAAUGCUACUAGUAAGAUUGCACGUGCAAUGCACGUAAUCAGUCCAUAAUAAUUUGCUACUCCACGGUCUCAUGUGUAAAAAUAUAUCAUCUUCGUAUUAACAAACGUGUCAAGUUAGAACUUAUUUAUAUUAUCACAUGCCGCUUCCAAAUAUGCGAGUUUUUCCUCAUGUUGCCCGUAGCCUCAUAUGUAGAGUUAUUAUUGCAACUAUCACACUUGUUGAAGCAAAACCUCUUACACCGGUCCUUCCACAGUUUAACAACAUCCAAGGCAUGCGAUGCUCAAGGUGAACACUUGCCGUCAUCCAACGGAUCGCAUCGCCUGUGUCAAAAUACUAAUAAGAAUUAUCUGGUGUUUAACUGAGAUGUUGGUUCUUCUGACAUUCAUAUAUAUACUACCAUAUAGCAAUGCAGUGUAUGGGUGUCGAAAGCAGAAUAACAAGAGAAUAGAGUGUUCAAUUCUCACUCGCAUAGUUAACAUCAAUCUACAAAACAUAACAUAUGUAACUAUCUCGGUGCUUCAAACAGGAUAUGUAAAAAUGAACUGUACACAACACAACUAUCCUAAUGUGAUGGACGCUUCUCCAUGUCAUUUGACAUGAACAACCGUCGUGUAAAGUUACAUCAGAAGAGUAUAAAACACAUAUCUCUGAAGGAGACAAACAAAUGUCUUGCAAUGGACGCAAGUACUAAUCAAAUCCAGUUGCUCCUUGCUUGAUGCAUUUGAAAGCAAAUCUUCAUAUCAACCUAUGUAAAUACCUGAAGAUUCACAACUUGGUACAUAAGUCGCCCAAUGACCACACAUGUGCCUCAGUUCUUCUGCAUAUGAAAUACUCCCUCCGUCCCACAAUAUAAGAACGUUUUUCAAGCUAAGAUAGUUUGAAAAAUGUUAUUAUAUUAUGGGACAAAGGGAGUAUUUCUCAACAUUGAAUCCAAAAAUUCUAUUAAUUGAGCAUAGUCAUCUCGGAAUAAGCACAUAAAGUGCACUUGGCGAUGAAUAAGUUUGCUUUUUCAAUAAUACCAUCUGCAGCUACAUAUUCAUGGCUAUUUAGAUCAAAAUUGAAAGAAAUACAUGUAACAAAAAUAAACUCAACUUUUCUCAGCUUUUGGUCAAAGCUCUGACCUACUGCUUGUUCCGCGCUCUUGCAGUCAUAUCAAUUGAGUGACGUCUAUAUAUAAGCAUAUCAUAUUCUCAACUUGAUGUUUAAUUCACCAUAGUGAGCAAGGAAAGGUGUAAAGAGUUAUACCAAUUUCUGAUCAACAUGGUUAAAUCAAGAUUAUUUGAAAAUACCACUGGAGCUAAUUAACCAAUCAUGAAAUAGAACAUGACGCAUAAUGAAUUUUCAAUGAUUACCAGAUAAUUCCACACGCAAAAAGAAGCUCGAAAGAUAGCUAUGGAAAAAAGAUAAAGAGGUCACGAACCUUUAGGGAGACCUGCGUUAUUAUGGGACAAGCUCGCAACCCACGUUGCACAGAUCCUGCACCCACUGAGCAGAGCAGAGAUACACAUCAACAACCAACAAAAAAGUCAAAAAUCAAAAUAAUAGAAUCGACUUGGAGGUAGCUAAUAGUGUCUCCAAUCCACGAUGAAAGCUCAUACAGUUUGUCAAGUACCGGCAAAUAACAAAGAACCCCCGAUGCAUCAGUGAGCUACGUCAACACACAUCAGAUGUCCACCCAGAACUACCUCCUGCUCUGCAAAACAUGGAUAUGGAAUUAUGUGCUUCACAAUGAGAGAGCUUCGUUGGCACACAUCAGAUCUUCCACGGUCAAAAGAAAGUAAGAAACAUGGGGAAUGACAAGAAAACUGAUUUGAACAUGCAGAGCAUUGUGUACUCAUGCGGAGGAACACAGAAAUUCUUGGAUGUGGUAACAAACUGCAGCUCAUCUGAUUACAAGGGAAUACAUCUAUGUACGAGCUAGCUAAACAACCAGACCAUUAGUCAACGGGGAGCACCAUGAGAAAAGUACACUCUAACUGAAGUAGUUGGUCUUCCUCUUCGUCGAUAUUUUUCAGAUGUGCAUUAGGCCAUUAGCUCCAACGAAACCAGCUGGUAUCCUUGAAAGAUAAAUAAGAACAUAAGAUCCAAAGAAAUGUAAUAGAUCUUAUGUUCCGGGGCGAACUGACUGGCCUGACUGAUGUGCCGGGCGAACUGACUGGCUUGACUGAUCUCCAGCAUCGUCUCAUCCGAGGAGCGUCGCCGGCAGCGACAUCCGGUGCCACUGGGUCGCGCCCUCGCCGCCUACAAUCUAGAUGGGAAGGAGAUUGCCCACGUUGAAGAAGAAGAGUAGAUUGCGUCUCGUGCGGCAUGGGUCAUGGGGUAAUUGUUGUAAGCAGUAACGCAUCACACAAAUUAAGGGAAUCUAAUUCAGUUUCCUAUUUUCAUGCCGCGCGUGGUUGUAGCGAUAGCGGACGUGGCACGGAAGAGUUUUCGUCCGCCCUGGAAAAAUGCUAGACGCAGUUUUGGCUGAGACUUAGUGUAAUUUUAAUGGUUAGAUCAAAUUAAAUGAUGCUAAUCGUGAGGCUGUAAUUGAUCUGUGCUGUUAUGUGUAGCUUAGGCUGGGUGCACUUAGCGAUGAAUAUGUUUGCUUAUUUAAUAGUAGUAGAGAAAAUCAUCACAACAGCGAUUGGAGCACCACAAACACUACUAGUGCCCAUAUUGGCAACGUUUUGUUUGGAGGACACACUUCUUAACUAAGUAUUGUACUCAUUAUAUUAUAAGUGGCCAUUUUAUUUAAGAGCAACCUCAAAUAAAUCCAUAAUUGGAUAUGCAAAAUGUUAAAUGGUGCAUAUUACGUCUAUAGAAUUUUUGUUGUCAUAUAAAAAUAAAGUUGUGUGUACUCCUAAAUAGCUAAAACAGUGCCAACAAUAUUCAUGCACUGCUCGCACGCACCAAAAUGAUUACCAGCCAUCGCCAUCGCUGCUCAUGCAAGUUGCUCGCCGUCAAGUCCAUGGUGACCGCUAUUCAUGCAAGUCGCCGAGAGUUGAGUAACCAGAAGUAUAUGUACACAUCGUUCGUCACGAUAUCUAUAGAUCGCCCGUCACUAUUUCUCUCAUUGAUGACCUAGUAUAUAUAUGGAGACACGAGUCAUUGGAUCAGAUUUUGGAUUUGGAGUCGAUUACAAGAUGGUUUCUAUGUGACGGGACAGGAGAGAUGAGGGUUUGUGGUUCUCACUAUAAACUGGAUGGUUGGAACAAUGUUUGGAUCGGUUUCUAUCGAUGCCGCAUGGACGUGGCCUAGGCGGGCGAUCGCAACACUGUAUCGCUGACACGGACAUGAAUAAAGGGCAUGGCGUUACUUAUUGGUGGCAUUUGAGGGUAAUCUUCUUGAACUAAGGGGCAAUUACAUGACGGGCGGGCAGAAGCAUUAAUCUCUUUAUUAGUAGGGGUAUAGCUAAGAUUUUAAUACAUGAUACAUUGAGAAAAUACCUACUAUAUUAUGGUCCCACAUAUUCAGGCCUUGUAUUUAUAGGAGUACAUAAAUUCCUCGCUCCGUUAGAUGUUGGUGUCCUGUGAACUUGUCUGACUUUGUGAUCAAGUAAAUUAAACCUAAGUAUUAUUUUUCCCAUGGAUUUGUGAAUGUGACAUGCUACAAGCAGGCCAUCUCGUGUCAACAGUGAGCCUGUUUAUGUUCUAUGCUAGUGCUCUUUGUCGUUCUUUUGACUAAAAAUGUUGAUUGUCCAUAGUCAACGCUAACCAUAAAAGGAGAUAAAUGUCUAUUUUGCCGGCCUCGAAAUUUCAGGAGAUGUCAAAAGGAAAUUUCACGAGGACACGAAAUAAUUCGAAAUACACCGGCAUAGUAUUUUGGCGGGACGCUUCGGGACUUAUAGGCAGGAAAUUUUAGUGGGACAUUUUAAUUUCGUGCACAACUUUUUAUUCCAAAAGUGUUAGAGCAUUAGUAUACCACAUCAGCUACACAAAACAUUACUUGUGAGCAUAUUCUAUGAUCAAAAGGCAUGUAUAUGAAAAUAAUAUAGUUCACACCAUUUUUAAAUUCGUUGGUGAUUACUACAAAUGUUAUUAGUUUAAUAUGAAAUACAUAGUAUCCACAUGUUGUCCACAUAUUACUGAACCCGCUAUAACUAAUGCUUUAAAAGUCUAUAUAAAUAGACUGACCUAAUCAUAUGCUAGAAACUACCAUUAAAGUAUUUAUUCGAUCAUACACUUUUGGUAUAUCAACCAUGAUAUUUAAUACUACAAACAAUAGACGAAAAACACGCACACAACAAAUUUUUCUCUAUAUAGUUUAGCUAUAUUUCAAAUAUGAUUUUCUGUUACAAAAUACAAUUGAAAGCUAUCACAAUGCAAGUGUAUUUGUAAUCAUAUACAUAACAAUUGGAAAUAGUAAUAACUAAUAUUAAGGAAUAAGUUUGCAUCAUUAAACAUGAAAAUAAUUAGCUAUAUAUAGCGAUCAAUAUUGUUGCAUGAUGAACCUAAGUUAUAUAAAAGUAUAAAAAAAAGUGUAUAAUUGUUUUACAGUGACUAAUCUCGAAAUUAACUUCAAUUACAUAAAAUAAUAUACUUAAAUUACCAUAUACAUAGUACACAAUACCUAAAAAUUGCCAUAUUUAGAAUGUCAUGAGCUCAUGACAAAUCAUUGGUCACCACUAACAAUGUUUAGUCAUAAAAUUACUAAGCAAAGAAUUAGAAUAAUUUAACAACAGGGAUAUCCGUAAUCUAAUGGAUUAGUAGUCACAACACAACACAACUCACGGGUAUUCAUCUAAUGGUAAAAAGAAAUUAAUGAUAUACCAACUUUCACUUUUCUAUAAUAACGUCUUACCUACUACAUAUACCACCAUAUGCUCAGGUCAACGGAUUGCAAGAUCUAGUGUCACAUUUGGCAUUUUCAUGUUGCAACUAUAUCUUUGUAUAAUAUCAAAUAGGUGAACCUCUCAUAAAAAUAUGUUGAUCGUAAGAGACAGGAAUAUAAGAGUUAAACCCAUAGGAAUAGGAGGCAAUAGGGAGAAUGGAAAUCCAAUGAUGACUAAAAGCUAGAAUUGAAGUGUCAUUAAAGAUCUUCCAAGAAGCUCCAUUGAUGACAAAAAAGACCACUCACAACCUUGCAGUGGGGUUCUUCUUGCUCCAGAAUACAAAAUGUGGCGAGAUCAGAUCGAGCGUCAUCCACAAAUAUAUUAAACAUUGAUAUCCACGUGAAUGCACGUGUUGUGCGGGCAUUUCUAGCAUUUUCGAACUGCACCUCAUAAAAUUGGCCUACUAACUCCUUAUCUUAGCACUGAAGGAAAUAUGCCCUAGAGGCAAUAAUAAAGUUAUUAUUUAUUUCCU
rnacentral:lncRNA from 1 species